rnacentral:rRNA from 1 species
CCUACGGGAGGCAGCAGUGGGGAAUAUUGCACAAUGGGCGCAAGCCUGAUGCAGCGACGCCGCGUGAGGGAUGACGGCCUUCGGGUUGUAAACCUCUUUCAGUAGGGAAGAAGCGUAAGUGACGGUACCUGCAGAAGAAGCGCCGGCUAACUACGUGCCAGCAGCCGCGGUAAUACGUAGGGCGCAAGCGUUAUCCGGAAUUAUUGGGCGUAAAGAGCUCGUAGGCGGUUUGUCGCGUCUGCCGUGAAAGUCCGGGGCUCAACUCCGGAUCUGCGGUGGGUACGGGCAGACUAGAGUGAUGUAGGGGAGACUGGAAUUCCUGGUGUAGCGGUGAAAUGCGCAGAUAUCAGGAGGAACACCGAUGGCGAAGGCAGGUCUCUGGGCAUUAACUGACGCUGAGGAGCGAAAGCAUGGGGAGCGAACAGGAUUAGAUACCCUGGUAGUCCAUGCCGUAAACGUUGGGCACUAGGUGUGGGGGACAUUCCACGUUUUCCGCGCCGUAGCUAACGCAUUAAGUGCCCCGCCUGGGGAGUACGGCCGCAAGGCUAAAACUCAAAGNGAGUGACGNGNGAGAGCGACGACGACGACGACGAGGAGGAG